CCUUAUCAAGAGUGGCGGAGGGGCAGGCCCUAUGAAACCCGGCAACCUGAUUUUUAUAAAUUAAGGUGCCAAAUCCUGCGGUAAUACCGAAAGAUGAGG
rnacentral:ncRNA from 1 species